UUUUUGUAGUGAAAGAAGGUGGGAAGGGAUACGCAAGAAAAGGUAUGGCUAAUGGGUGCUUAAACUUACGUAUUUUUCGCUUAUUUUAUCUACUUAAUUGCAAAUACAUUCGUACAGAUAUCGACCGAGGUAGACCCUGUGUUGUGACAAAUUAUGAAGAGGAUGUAAAGAAAUUGUUUAAAAAUAUUUUUUUGUAGCACCACAGGAUAUCUAUCAGCUGAUUACAGCUGAUACCGCGCUAAAUGUUUAAGAAUUAUAAACAGAUCUAUCUGCCCUGCCCUAAGUUUUAUAUUUGACUUCUAUUUUCGGAGGAUUAUCAAAGAGCCUGCUUGUUUUCCAAGUAGUGAAUUUCAUUUAAGUAUCUCUUACUUAAUGUAUUGUUUCAAUUUUGUAUAUAAAGUGAAAAUUAAAUAGUUUUUGUGUUAAUUAGCCAUUUGAAACAUGCAUUCCACUAUUUUUAUUGUUUUACUUAUCUUUGGAUAUUAUAAUCACGUCCAAGCCACACUCCCAGGCGCUGCGUUCAUAGGAUAUGGAUAUGAAAUGCCAGACUAUCAAAUGGGUUUCCAGCCACGAAAUACUUUCUACGCGAUAAACGAACCAUUUUAUGAAUUAUCAAGUGCCUACUCCGAACAAAGGCCAUACGAACAUGUCACAUCUGAUACCUGUAAUUUGAAUAUUGUAUCUCCUUUAUGUGGAUGUCAAUAUCCGCUCACCGAAACCGGAUUUCCGCCUUUUACCAUCUACGGAGAUGAAGCUACAAAUGUUCCGGGUUGUGGUAAAUAUUUGAGACAAGUUACGCUACAGCCGCCGUAUCUUUAGUGAAUUAAACGUGUUUGUUCAAUAAAGUUUCUACUAUUUC